rnacentral:rRNA from 1 species
UCAAUAAGCGGAGGAAAAGAAACUAACAAGGAUUCCCUAGUAACGGCGAGUGAAGAGGGAAGAGCUCAAAUUUGAAAUCUGGCGGCCUUACGGUCGUCCGAGUUGUAAUCUAGAGAAGUGUUUUCCGUGCUGGACCGUGUACAAGUCCUUUGGAACAAGGCGUCAUAGAGGGUGAGAAUCCCGUAUACGACACGGACUACCAGUGCUCUGUGAUACACUCUCAACGAGUCGAGUUGUUUGGGAAUGCAGCUCAAAAUGGCUGCUAAUUCCAUCUAAAGCUAAAUAUGGGCGAAAGACCGAUAGCGAACAAGUACCGUGAGGGAAAGAUGAAAAGCACUUUGGAAAGAGAGUCAAACAGUACGUGAAAUUGUUGAAAGGGAAACGCUUGAAGUCAGUCGCGUCUUCAGAAACUCAGCCUGGCUUCUGCCUGGUGUACUUUUCUGUGGGACGGGCCAGCAUCAGUUUCGGCCGCCAGAAAAAGGUGGGGGGAAGGUGGCACCUCCGGGUGUGUUAUAGCCCCUCAUCGUAUGUGGCGGCGGGGACUGAGGACCGCAGCACGCCUUUAUGGCCGGGGUUCGCCCACGUAACGUGCUUAGGAUGCUGGCGUAAUGGCUUUAAGCGACCCGUCUUG